GACGGACCGGCGUGGCCCGCUUCCGUUCCGGGAGUGUGCGCCAUGUUGUGUUCGUCAUCCUUGCAGAACAAAGUGUCUACCAUUUAUUUGGCCGGAUACUGUGAUCUGCAUCGAUUACUUUGAAAAAAUUAGAGUGUUUAAAGCAGGCUUAUGCUCUGAAUACAUUAGCAUGGAAUAAUAAUUUAGGACUCCGGUUCUAUUUUGUUGGUUUCUAGAACUGAAGUA
rnacentral:rRNA from 1 species